CUGUAGCGGGAGCUUGUGACCCGAGCGGGGGCAACAAGGUGGUGUGGAUGCUGUGCGACGGUUUCUCUGGGCCUGGGCCUGUGGUGUGCCUUUGCUUGCUGGCCUGCCCGUCCCAAGUUGGUAGUGGUUGGCGGGGCUCUUGCGAAGGCUUGGGCCUCUCCGAACCUAAAGCGGCAGGAAUGGCGUGAGGCUGGCUUCACAGAGCAGCGAUCACUGCCCGCUUCCAACGGUGGGAGGAUAACAGGCCGCUGCACCAUUAGCCCAACUUAGGGCCCAGAGCCUCACUAUAGCAGACCACCAUCUUU
rnacentral:SRP_RNA from 12 species